rnacentral:misc_RNA from 1 species
AAAAAAAAAAAAAAAAAAUUCUAGAUUAGACAAUUGAAGCACACAAGUUGCUUACAAGUCAAAUCAAAAUUCAUUUGGUUUCAAGUUACCAAACUAGUAUCCAUAUAUAGUUCAGUCUAACAUUACAUUUACCACCAAAUCACACUAGAUAUCAAAAUAUCUUCAAUUUGUUAUUUUCUAGUCAGCACCAAUAUGUGGCAUAGUUAUUAAAGGCACAGGCACACACCUGAAUGAGGUCAGGCGCAAAAAAUGUAAAAUUUAACUAAAAAUUAUAAUUAAAAUCAGAUAGUCAUCAUUAGCUCUAUUUAACCAAAUUUAUCAAAAUUAUCAAUCUAAAAAGAUUAAUAAGCAUAGAAAAGUACAUGAAAUGAAUAUGAAUUUCACAGCCAUUAAUAUCAUUUUUAUUUUAGGAGAACACUACUAGAACUUCUGAGAAAAUAAAAUAAACCAAAUUUUGGACAUCCAAGACAAAUCCAAAUACGCUAUUAGUGUUAGAAAAAGAAAAUAAAGAAGCAAUUUUAGAUAACCCAUGAACAGAGGACCUAAAUAGCAUGUUAGUGUUUUUCCUUAAAACAAAAAGAAUAACUCUCAGAAAAUCCUGAAAUAAUGAACCCAAUUACCCAAAUAGCACCGUUAGUAGUGUUUAAAAAAGGGCAAUUUCAAAUAAACUAGAAACAAAGGAGUCCA